UACGUAGGGGGCAAGCGUUGUCCGGAUUUAUUGGGCGUAAAGAGCGUGUAGGCGGCUGGGUAGGUCCGCUGUGAAAACUCGAGGCUUAACCUCGAGACGUCGGUGGAAACCAUCCAGCUAGAGUCCGGAAGAGGAGAGUGGAAUUCCUGGUAUAGCGGUGAAAUGCGCAGAUAUCAGGAAGAACACCCGUGGCGAAAGCGGCUCUCUGGGACGGUACUGACGCUGAGACGCGAAAGCGUGGGGAGCGAACAGG
rnacentral:rRNA from 1 species